GACGAACGCUGGCGGCGUGCCUAAUACAUGCAAGUCGACCUUAGUGGCGAACGGGUGAGUAACACGUGGGUAACCUGCCCAUCAGAAGGGGAUAACACUUGGAAACAGGUGCUAAUACCGUAUACUGAUGGAUGGACCCGCGGGGCAUUAGCUAGUUGGUGAGGUAACGGAUCACCACGGCGAAGAGCCGUAAAUGGUCUGCGAGGAGGACCGGCCACAUUGGGACUGAGACACGGCCCAAACUCCUACGGGAGGCAGCAGGAGGGAAUCUUCGGCAAUGGACGAAAGUCUGACCGAGCAACGCCGCGUGAGUGAAGAAGGUUUUCGGAUCGUAAAACUCUGUGGUUAGAGAAGCGGUAUCUAACCAGAAAGCCACGGCUAACUACGUGCCAGCAGCCGCGGUAAUAC
rnacentral:rRNA from 1 species